UACGUAGGGUGCUAGCGUUGUUCGGAAUCAUUGGGCGUAAAGCGCGUGUAGGUGGUUAGUAAAGUUGGAUGUGAAAUCCCUGGGCUCAACCGAGGAAGUGCAUUCAAAACUAACUAGCUUGAGAGUGGUAGAGGAAGGUGGAAUUCCUAGUGUAGAGGUGAAAUUCGUAGAUAUUAGGAGGAAUACCGGAGGCGAAGGCGGCCUUCUGGACCAUUUCUGACACUGAGACGCGAAAGCGUGGGUAGCGAACAGG
rnacentral:rRNA from 1 species